AGACAGUUAAGUAAUAAAAUAAAGACCAUUAGACUUUCAGUAUAGGGGUAAAAUCUAAAUAUUGAAAAUUAUUUUAGGUAUGGUUUAUUAUAGGUACUGAAUCUGUGAUAGCUUUAAGGGAAACUGGGAUUGGAUACCCCAUUAUUUUUAGUCGUAAAUUUAAUUUAAGUUUACCAGAGUACUACGAAUAAAAAGUUUAAAACUCAAAGAGCUUGGCGGUGUUUUAGACCUCUCAGGGGAACCUGUCUCAUAAUCGACAAUCCACGUUAGACCUGACCUUUAAUAGCAAGUCAGCCUGUAUACCGUCGUCGUCAGGUAACUUCCUAAAAUAUAGUAGUUAGCUUGAUAAUUUUAUUAAUUAAGACGUCAGAUCAAGGUGCAGCUAAUAGAAAGGGGAGGAUGGGUUACAAUUAUUUAUUCGUAAUUACGGAAAAACACUUGAAACAAAGUGUCUAAAGGAGGACUUGAAAGUAAUUUUAAUUAUAUAAAUAGAAUGAAUAAGGCUCUGAAACGUGC
rnacentral:rRNA from 1 species